rnacentral:rRNA from 1 species
GAUGAACGCUGGCGGCGUGCCUAAUACAUGCAAGUCGAGCGAAUGGAUUAAGAGCUUGCUCUUAUGAAGUUAGCGGCGGACGGGUGAGUAACACGUGGGUAACCUGCCCAUAAGACUGGGAUAACUCCGGGAAACCGGGGCUAAUACCGGAUAACAUUUUGAACCGCAUGGUUCGAAAUUGAAAGGCGGCUUCGGCUGUCACUUAUGGAUGGACCCGCGUCGCAUUAGCGAGUUGGUGAGGUAACGGCUCACCAAGGCAACGAUGCGUAGCCGACCUGAGAGGGUGAUCGGCCAAACUGGGACUGAGACACGGCCCAGACUCCUACGGGAGGCAGCAGUAGGGAAUCUUCCGCAAUGGACGAAAGUCUGACGGAGCAACGCCGCGUGAGUGAUGAAGGCUUUCGGGUCGUAAAACUCUGUUGUUGGGGAAGAACAAGUGCUAGUUGAAUAAGCUGGCACCUUGACGGUACCUAACCAGAAAGCCACGGCUAACUACGUGCCAGCCGCCGCCGUAA